CGGAGGGCGCAGCCUACCAUGCAGUCGAGCGGUAACAUUUCUAGCUUGCUAGAAGAUGACGAGCGGCGGACGGGUGAGUAAUGCUUGGGAAUAUGCCUUAGGGUGGGGGACAACAGUUGGAAACGACUGCUAAUACCGCAUAACGUCUACGGACCAAAGGGGGCUUCGGCUCUCGCCCUUAGAUUAGCCCAAGUGGGAUUAGCUAGUUGGUGAGGUAAUGGCUCACCAAGGCGACGAUCCCUAGCUGGUUUGAGAGGAUGAUCAGCCACACUGGAACUGAGACACGGUCCAGACUCCUACGGGAGGCAGCAGUGGGGAAUAUUGCACAAUGGGCGCAAGCCUGAUGCAGCCAUGCCGCGUGUGUGAAGAAGGCCUUAGGGUUGUAAAGCACUUUCAGUAAGGAGGAAAGGUUAGUAGUUAAUACCUGCUAGCUGUGACGUUACUUACAGAAGAAGCACCGGCUAACUCCGUGCCAGCAGCCGCGGUAAUACGGAGGGUGCGAGCGUUAAUCGGAAUUACUGGGCGUAAAGCGUACGCAGGCGGUUUGUUAAGCGAGAUGUGAAAGCCCCGGGCUCAACCUGGGAACUGCAUUUCGAACUGGCAAACUAGAGUAUGAUAGAGGGUGGUAGAAUUUCAGGUGUAGCGGUGAAAUGCGUAGAGAUCUGAAGGAAUACCGAUGGCGAAGGCAGCCACCUGGGUCAAUACUGACGCUCAUGUACGAAAGCGUGGGGAGCAAACGGGAUUAGAUACCCCGGUAGUCCACGCCGUAAACGAUGUCUACUAGGAGCUGGGGUCUUCGGACAACUUUUCCAAAGCUAACGCAUUAAGUAGACCGCCUGGGGAGUACGGCCGCAAGGUUAAAACUCAAAUGAAUUGACGGGGGCCCGCACAAGCGGUGGAGCAUGGUGGUUUAAUUCGAUGCAACGCGAGAACCUUACCUACACUUGACAUACAGAGAACUUACCAGAGAUGGUUUGGUGCCUUCGGGAACUCUGAUACAG
rnacentral:rRNA from 1 species